rfam:Oryza rufipogon genomic scaffold, chr12
AAUAAGUGUAAUUUUACACGGUUAAUGUCCAACGUUUAACCGUUCGUCUUAUUUAAAUUUUUUUUAUAAUUAGUAUUUCUAUUGUUAUUAGAUGAUAAAAUAUGAAUAUUACUUUAUGUGUGACUAAUUUUUUUAGUUUUUCUACAAAUUAUUUAAAUAAAACGAACGGUCAAACGUUAGAUACGGAUACCCACUGUACUUAUU